AUCUUGUUGAAACACUAGUUCCCAUAUGAUCACCAAAGUUAAACACUAUUGAGCCUAGUUAGUCCCUAGAUGGGUGAUUGCUUCUGAAAACCAGGUGCUGUAAG